CAAGGAGUUUUCCGCAAUGGGCGCAAGCCUGACGGAGCAACGCCGCGUGGGGGAUGACGCCCUUCGGGGUGUAAACCCCUUUUCUUGGGGACGAAGCAGUGACGGUACCCGAGGAAGAAGGCCCGGCUAACUACGUGCCAGCAGCCGCGGUAAUACGUAGGGGCCGAGCGUUGUCCGGAGUUACUGGGCGUAAAGCGCGCGCAGGCGGCUCGUCAAGCCCGACGUGAAAGCCCCCGGCUCAACCGGGGAGGGUCGUCGGGGACUGGCGGGCUUGAGGACGGCAGGGGUUGGUGGAAUUCCCGGUGUAGUGGUGAAAUGCGUAGAGAUCGGGAGGAACACCCGUGGCGAAGGCGGCCAACUGGGCCGGACCUGACGCUGAGGCGCGAAGGCGUGGGGAGCGAACGGG
rnacentral:rRNA from 1 species